rnacentral:RNase_P_RNA from 1 species
CGAGUUUGCCGGACGGCUGCGCACAAUUUGUGUGAGGAAAGUCCGAGCCCCACAGAGCAGGAUAGCGGCUAACGGCCGCCGAGGGUGACCUUAGAGAUAGUGCAACAGAGAUAUACCGCCAGUUAACUGGUAAGGGUGGAAAGGCGAGGUAAGAGCUCACCGGCGAUACGGAGACGUAUCGGCCCUGUAAACCUUAUCCGGAGCAACGCUGACUACGACCAUACGUUUGCUCGACGUGUCGUGAAAAGCGGCUUGAGAAGGUUGGCAACAGCCUUUCGAGAUAGAUAGUCGUCGAUAACAGAACUCGGCUUAUAGGCAGACUCAUUAA